AGUGAACGCUGGCGGUAGGCCUAACACAUGCAAGUCGAACGGCAGCACAGUAAGAGCUUGCUCUUACGGGUGGCGAGUGGCGGACGGGUGAGGAAUACAUCGGAAUCUACUUUUUCGUGGGGGAUAACGUAGGGAAACUUACGCUAAUACCGCAUACGACCUACGGGUGAAAGCAGGGGAUCUUCGGACCUUGCGCAAUUGAAUGAGCCGAUGUCGGAUUAGCUAGUUGGCGGGGUAAAGGCCCACCAAGGCGACGAUCCGUAGCUGGUCUGAGAGGAUGAACCCCCACACAGGAACUGGGACACGGCCCAGCCUCCUAGGGGAGGCAGAAGGGGGAAAUUUGGGAAAAGGGGGGCAACCGUGAACCAGCCAACCCGGGGGGGUGAAGAAGGCCUUCGGGUUGUAAAGCCCUUUUGUGGGGAAAAAAAAGAAGCAGGUUAAUCCCCCGCUUUUCUGAGGGAACCAAAAAAAAAAGCCCGGGCAAAUUUGGU
rnacentral:rRNA from 1 species